rnacentral:rRNA from 1 species
AGAGUUCGAUCCUGGCUCAGGAUGAACGCUGGCGGCGCGCCUAACACAUGCAAGUCGAACGGCACCUGCCCUCGGGCAGAAGCGAGUGGCGAACGGCUGAGUAACACGUGGAGAACCUGCCCCCUCCCCCGGGAUAGCCGCCCGAAAGGACGGGUAAUACCGGAUACCCCGGGGUGCCGCAUGGCACCCCGGCUAAAGCCCCGACGGGAGGGGAUGGCUCCGCGGCCCAUCAGGUAGACGGCGGGGUGACGGCCCACCGUGCCGACAACGGGUAGCCGGGUUGAGAGACCGACCGGCCAGAUUGGGACUGAGACACGGCCCAGACUCCUACGGGAGGCAGCAGUGGGGAAUCUUGCGCAAUGGGGGGAACCCUGACGCAGCGACGCCGCGUGCGGGACGGAGGCCUUCGGGUCGUAAACCGCUUUCAGCAGGGAAGAGUCAAGACUGUACCUGCAGAAGAAGCCCCGGCUAACUACGUGCCAGCAGCCGCGGUAAUACGUAGGGGGCGAGCGUUAUCCGGAAUUACUGGGUGUAAAGGGAGCGUAGGCGGCAUGGUAAGUAAGAUGUGAAAGCCCGAGGCUUAACCUCGAGGAUUGCAUUUUAAACUAUCAAGCCGGGGGUCGAAGCGGGGGGCUCAACCCCCCGAAGCCCCCGGAACCUCCGCGGCUUGGGUCCGGUAGGGGAGGGUGGAACACCCGGUGUAGCGGUGGAAUGCGCAGAUAUCGGGUGGAACACCGGUGGCGAAGGCGGCCCUCUGGGCCGAGACCGACGCUGAGGCGCGAAAGCUGGGGGAGCGAACAGGAUUAGAUACCCUGGUAGUCCCAGCCGUAAACGAUGGACGCUAGGUGUGGGGGGACGAUCCCCCCGUGCCGCAGCCAACGCAUUAAGC